AAGGACAUUAUUUAUUGAUAAUUUAUAUAUAUAUAUAAAUUAUCGUAAAUAAUUUGUCCUUCU
rnacentral:pre_miRNA from 1 species